rnacentral:rRNA from 1 species
GACGAACCGAGCGAACGUUGUUCGGAAUCACUGGGCUUAAAGGGCGCGUAGGCGGGCUGCCAAGUCCGUGGUGAAAUCCCCCGGCUCAACCGGGGAAGGGCCUCGGAUACUGGCGGCCUCGAGGGGGGUAGGGGCGUGCGGAACUGUGGGUGGAGCGGUGAAAUGCGUUGAUAUCCACAGGAACUCCGGUGGCGAAGGCGGCACGCUGGACCCCAUCUGACGCUGAGGCGCGAAAGCCAGGG